AUUUUCUUUAUCAUUUUAGGAAACUGUAUAAUACUGGUUUGAUCCUGGGCAAGAAUGCAAAAUUCAUUCCUACAACUCAUUGAGUCAGUCCAAGGCAACAGGAAUAAAAGCAACAUCACCAAAAUGACAAUAACCAACAUUCAGGUAAAUGAGUUUUUCCAAAUGAAUCAGUAUGCUUCUUUUGAUAAGACAAUACAUGAAUCUCAUAGAAGUCUGAAAGAUGAUGAACAAAUUUUCUAA
rnacentral:lncRNA from 1 species